AUUGAACGCUGGCGGCAUGCCUUACACAUGCAAGUCGAACGGCAGCACGGGAGCAAUCCUGGUGGCGAGUGGCGAACGGGUGAGUAAUGUAUCGGAACGUACCUUUCAGUGGGGGAUAACGUAGCGAAAGUUACGCUAAUACCGCAUAUUCUGUGAGCAGGAAAGCAGGGGAUCGCAAGACCUUGCGCUGAUUGAGCGGCCGAUAUCAGAUUAGCUAGUUGGUGAGGCAAAGGCUCACCAAGGCGACGAUCUGUAGCGGGUCUGAGAGGAUGAUCCGCCACACUGGAACUGAGACACGGUCCAGACUCCUACGGGAGGCAGCAGUGGGGAAUUUUGGACAAUGGGCGCAAGCCUGAUCCAGCCAUGCCGCGUGAGUGAAGAA
rnacentral:rRNA from 1 species